rnacentral:rRNA from 1 species
AUACGGAUGGUGCGAGCGUUGUUCGGAAUUACUGGGCGUAAAGGGCGCGUAGGCGGCGAUGUAAGUCAAAUGUGAAAGUCCUCGGCUUAACCGGGGAAGUGCAUCUGAAACUGCAUUGCUUGAGUAUGGGAGAGGAAAGUGGAAUUCCCGGUGUAGAGGUGAAAUUCGUAGAGAUCGGGAGGAAUACCGGUGGCGAAGGCGACUUUCUGGACCAAUACUGACGCUGAGGCGCGAAAGCGUGGGGAGCAAACAGGAUUAGAAACCCUUGUAGUCC